UACGGGAGGGGCAAGCGUUGUUCGGAAUUACUGGGCGUAAAGGGCUCGUAGGCGGCCCACUAAGUCCGACGUGAAAUCCCCAGGCUUAACUUGGGAACUGCGUCGGAUACUGGUGGGCUUGAAUCCGGGAGAGGGAUGCGGAAUUCCAGGUGUAGCGGUGAAAUGCGUAGAUAUCUGGAGGAACACCGGUGGCGAAGGCGGCAUCCUGGACCGGCAUUGACGCUGAGUGAGCGAAAGCCAGGGGAGCAAACAGG
rnacentral:rRNA from 1 species